GCACCCCUCAGACGUUCCCAAGACAGCUGUAAUCACUCCGUUUGGACUGUUCAAGUUUCUGAGGAUGCCGUUUGGUCUUAAAAACGUGGCACAAUCUUUCCAGCCUUUAAUGGAUUCUGUGCUCAGUGACUUGCCAUUUGUGUUCGUCUAUUUGGAUGACAUCCUCGUCGCCAGCUCCUCGGAGGAUGAACAUCUGAUGCACCUCCGCGACCUCUUCGCAAGACUUGAGCAGCAUGGCCUCAUCAUCAACCCGGCGAAGUGUGUUUUCGGGGUGCCCUCUAUCCAGUUCCUCGGGCACCUCAUAGAAAAGAACGGCGCCGCCCCCCUUCCGGCAAAGGUGGAGGCCGUCUCCGCUUUUCCCCAACCUCGCUCGGCUCGGGGCCUCCGGGAGUUCCUGGGGAUGGUGACUUUCUACCACCGGUUCAUCCGCCGGGCGGCCCACAUCAUGCGCCCGCUCUAUGAGGCUCUUAAAGGCAAGGUCCCCAACCGUGACGUUGAAUGGACAGCCGAGAGAAUGGAAGCCUUCGAGGCUACGAAGGCCGCGGUGAGUUGUGCCGCUAUGCUGGCCCACCCGACCCACGAGGCCCCUGUCGCUCUCACUACCGACGCAUCGGACUACACUGUUGGAGCCGUAUUCUAACAGUGGGUCGGCGGCGCCUGGCAACCGCUUGCCUUUUUCAGCCGUCAGCUGGUCUCUAGGGAGCGCAAAUACAGCACGUUUGAUAGAGCUCCUCGGCCUCUGGGUGGCGAUCCGCCACUUCCGCCCCCUAUUGGAAGGCCGUGAGUUCACGGCAUAUGUGCACCAUAAACCCCUCACUUUCGCCAUGUCCAUGGUGGCCGAGCCGUGGUCCGCCCACCAGCAACGCCAACUGUCGUUCAUCUCUGAGUACACUACGGACAUCCAACACAUUGCCGGCAAAUCCAAUGUGGUCGCGGACUGCCUCUCCAGGGCGAUCGUCGGCACUGUGCAUCUGGGUCUCGACUACUCCCGCAUGAGCGCAGACCAGGCCUCUGACCACGGGGUGCAGGCCCUCAAGACUUCUGACAUGGGUUUGCGCCUGGAGGAAGUCGCGGUUGGUGACUCGGGCGUCAGGUUGCUGUGCGACCUGUCGACUGACCAGCCUCGGCCGCUGGUCCCUGCAAACUGGCGGCGAGCUGUUUUCGAUGCGGUCCACAACCUCUCCCACCCGGAAGGAAACCGUCCGUGAGGCUGGUGGCCCAGAAGUUCGUGUGGCGCGGUCUUAAGAAAGAUGUGCAGGCCUGGGUCGACUCGUGCGUGGCCUGUCAGCGGGCUAAGGUGCAUCGCCACACAAAAGCCCCCUUGGAGCCCUUCGCUGUCCCCGAGAGGAGGUUUGACCAUGUCAACGUCGACUUGGUAGGUCCACUUCCUCCCUCGCACAGUUUCACCUACUUGCUCACCAUGGUGGACAGGACGACCCGCUGGCCCGAAGCCGUUCCCCUCUCCUCGACAACGUCGUCAGACGUGGCCCGGGCGUUCAUCGGCACGUGGGUUGCGCGCUUCAGGACCCCGUGCGACCUUUCCUCCAACCGUGGCCCUCAGUUUACCUCUGAACUCUGGAACGCAGUCGCUGAGAGUUUGGGGGUCAAGCUGCACCGCACUACCGCCUAUCACCCCCAGGUGAACGGUCUCUGCAAGCGGUUCCACCGCUCCAUGAAAGCAGCCCUGCGUGCCGGCUUGACUGACGGCAACUGAUUGGAUAAGCUCCCGUGGGUCAUGCUGGGCCUCAGGUGCGCCUCCAAGGAGGACCUGUUGUCCUCAUCCGCCGAACUCGUAUACGGCCAGCCACUGCGGGUCCCCAGCGAAUUCAUCCCGGACGCCACAGCGCCCUGGUCCGCAGCCAGGCAACGGUCCUCCCUGCUGGAGGCCGCAAAAGGGUUUGCGCCGGUUCCCACGUCGCAACAUGUCACCCCAGCUGCCCGGCUGCCCCGUCACCUGCGCUCUGCGGAUUUUGUGUUUGUUCGUCAUGACGCCCACCGUGGACCUCUGCGCCCCCCAUACGACGCGCCGUUCAGGGUCCUGGAGCACGGGGAUAAGAGCCUGCUCGUGGACAUUGGCGGCAGACCCGAGACUGUUUCCGUGGACAGGGUCAAACCCGCGCACCUGGACAUUGCCCAUCCUUUGGGGUUGGCUCUCCCCCCGCGCCCGGGUCGUCCCCCUUUGCCCUGUGCCCCUGCGCCUGCCGGGGUGCCCUUGACCCCACCUGGGCCCUUGUCCCGUGACUCAAUGGACAGUGCGGCCCCGCCCCCCUCGGGCCCUACAGUGCACACCCGCCGGGGUCAGGUCGUCAUCCCUCCACAGCACGAGGAUUUUGACUAUGGGUGAAUUCUGGGGGGGCUUGUGUGGUGUUUACAUAAUUCACCCGCGGGACCUCGAGUUGGGGUGCGGGAUUCCGCACGGAUUGUUAUUGUUGUUGCGCUUCCGGAGUGAAAGGUUAUCAGAGUUCCCGCCGUUAUGCGAGUAGUGUUUCGAUGUUGAGCAAUAAAACAAGUUUUGUUCCUCUGUCCGACACUCCGCCUACGACUCCUUUUCUCCGGCGCUACAAUACAAAUAUUUACCCAAACUUCAUCAGUGGAUAAGCAAGAAAACACAUUUUCUGUGAAAUUUUUGAUUAAUUUCAUAAUACAGAACUCUGCAAAUUGAAUUUGAUUUUGAAAUGCAAGGAAACAAGUUAAAAUUUUCUGUCUGAAAUAGGACAUCGCAGAGACAAGAAAUGUGUUUAGAAUGUAUUUUCCCAUUGCGAGUCCUUAUUUCCAAAAAUAUAUAUAACUGAUUAACUUGAAAUUUAAUAUUUUUAUGACAAAAAAUGCUUAGUUUUUUGCUGUUAUAAUGAUAGUGCUUCACAGCGUAUUUUGGGAAAAGUUAACAUAUCACGGAAAUCGGGCCCUUGGUAAUAUGCAAGGUUUCUCGGUGGUCACGGUGUUCUUUGGCUUCCCUUUGCACUUAGCCUUUUUUGUCUUACUAAGUCGAUUUAAAAAUCCUUCAUGUUACCAGAACCGAAAAAAUGUCAGGCUCAUCUGACCCAUUUAAUUCUACAUGCCAAACAUUGACAAAUCCGCCACCAUAAUCCAACCUGUAAACCCUGUCCUUGGGAGUACCAAGACGGCAGCCAACUGUUUUCAACCAAUCGACACACUGCUCAAUGUGUAUGCACUAACCAGUCUUUUUUUACGUCACUGCCACCAACCACUGAUCUAAAUAAGACUGGAUAGCUUAUUGGCCACCGUAGCUGAAGUCGCCGGAAGCAGAUAUGCGCCAAUUUGAUAGUCCCGAAACAACCAUGCCUAUCUGUGUAGGGAUUCACCGCUUUAAUCUCCAGUUUCGUGGCUGUGAAUAUGUAUUUACAUAUUCAGUGUUAACACUUGGGACUGUCUGUGAAAAUAUAUUUCUAAAUAAAACAUACAUGGAUGUCCCUUAAAGCCGAUCUUACUGAUAUGUUUUGAAGUUAAAUUCCAGAUCAUGCUUGAGUAUGUUGGGUUGAGUGGCAGCAAGCAUCCAGAUUUCACUUUUUGAAGGUAACUUCUUUCUUUUCCUGUUCACUUUUGAAAAAUCUUGACAUCGGGUCAGGAAACAUACAGUAAACUCUGCAUAACUCGACAUUGUGGUGGUCUACAUAAUUCACCUACGGGACCUCGUGUUACGAGGUUCUGCACGGACGUUUUUGUUGGUUACACUUCCGGUCUGUUACUGUAUGUCAUUAAAACGAGGUUCGUUUCUGUGUUCGACACUCCACCUCCAACUCCUUUUCUUCGGCGCUACAACACUGUUUAGGACCACAACUUUUGUGAAGACUAUUUUACUUUUAUUUUACUUUCAUUAUUUGCUUAAAUAUGACCUUAUACAUUUAAUCAACAGAUGAAGUGUUGCCCAUUUGCUAAUCAGACAAGGAUGUGUUGUGGAGCCGGUGGUUGUCCUUGAUCUUUGUACGCAGAAAACCGGCUGGUGGCAUCCUCCUCUCCCAAGUGUUGCCGUGGAGACGAAUGACACCAGAUUAAGGAGCGGAACGUUACCAUCCGACCCAGGACCAGACUGCGUGGGGGGCAGCCACUUCUACCAUGGAGCCAUACAUAUAAAAACCUUGUGUUACUGGGCAGCUGUCUUCUUCUUUGGCUAUCCUGGCAGAAGACACAUCUCGUGUGCGGCAGAUACCUAGAUAAGACCUGGACGUCUGUAUUGAACAUUCCUUUGUGAUAAAUCCAUUUGCUGUUAACUUUUUCUAAUCAUUGGUCAUAUCUUCCUCGAUUCGUGAACAGGCGUAGGGUCCAAACUCGCAGAUCCCUACAAUAGAGAAAUGUUGACUUACACGUAACCUUUUCAGUAGUAUUAUUGGAGACUGGGACCUCACUUUUAAUGUUGACUUACGGUAUAUGUCAUCUUAUACAGUGUCAUGUCAUGCAGGGUUUACUGUAUUUUCAUUCCAUGUCUUUCUGCCGACAGUACCAACAGGCUACUGAAACCAAUAAUUUCCAUGAAAUCUGAAUUGUGGCUCAGGAAAGGUGGUCUGUCAGUAACUUGGGGAUCGUUUCGGCUCGAACCACGUUUCGACCUAUUAUUGGGCUCAGUGAAUGAUUGAAUGGCUCGUGUUUAAUGUCCUACUUAACAGUAUUUCAGUUAUAUGAGAACAGUACCUACGUGUUGCAGGAUUCAUUUCUACAGCUGUUGUCUUAUGUUGCCUCACAGAGGUCAUUUGCCAGAGACACAGUAUGACCAUCCCGCUGACACUCACAUAUGAUAAUACUGACACACUGCCAACCAGUUGCCUUUUUGAUGCCAAUUACUGAACUUUAAGUGAAACAGUGGCAGCUAUGACUCUUAUUUUUGGUUUGACGACCCAGACUCAAACCUUGUCUACCAGUGUUUUGGGUGGUUUUAGCUCAUACCGCAUUUAUACUUGUACCAAUCAUUGAAUAAUUGGUGUUUAAUAUCUUGCAUUACAGUAUUUUAGUCCUUUGAUGCUGAUUUCCAUUGCUCUUUAUCUCGUACUGCCUCAUUGAGACAACGAGCCAAAGACACCCAACAAGCCCCCUCACCCGUCACAUUCGAGGCCUACAAACAAUGGGCGAACCUGUGGCUGCUCUAACUCCUAUUGCUGAGUGCCACACGAGACAGAGUUUCCGCUGUUACAUGUAGUUUUGUGUCAGAUUCGACCCAGAUUUUAAACCUGGAUCUCCCAGCCUAGAAGCAGAUGCUUUACAGGCUCUAUCAUUUCUAUUUACACCGAUAACAAAUGUAAGCCACAGCUGUGCAAGCUAUGCUUUAGAGGAUGGCUUUUAUCUGAGUCCUAUUUGUAAUUAAUUCACGGGACUAGCAUCUGGAGUUUUGCUGCAAACUCACUUCCUGCUUUGAAGUGCUGAAAUUGUGUGGAUAUACAAAUGGGGAGUGGGGGUAAUCCCAUAAAUUUGGUCUCCCAUCCUGGGGCCUCCCUGGUUUAAUCAAUUUAUAUCUGUCAGAAAUUUUGUCCACACUCUUGGAUGAAAUGCUUUUAUUUCAUAUAGUGCUUCACAGCGUAUUUUGGGAAAAGUUAACAUUGGGGAAAUCGGGCCCUAGGUAAUAUGCGAGGUUUAUUGGUAGUCAUGGUGUUAUAUGGCUUUCCUUUGCACUCAGCCUUUUUGGGCUUACCAAGUCGAAUUAAAAAUCCUUCAUGUUACCAGAACUGAAAACAUGUCAAACUCAUGUGACCAUUAUUGAUAAAAACCCCGCCAUAAUGCAACAUGUAAACCAUGUCCUCCACACGUUUUUGGAGUACCAAGAUGGCGACCAACUGGCUUCAACCAAUCGACACACUGCUAUAUAGUAAGUUUCUUUCGGCUUGUCCCUUUCGGGGUCGCCACAGCGUGUCUCCUCAGAUGAACACACAUAUAUGUUUGGCACAAUUUUUACGCCGGAUGCCCUUCCUGAUGCAUGAGCUAUCCAGUCUUUUUUUUUUUUUUUUUUUUUUUUUUUUUUGAGCACGUUAACACAGAACAGUACAGGUGCUACAUUCCUCCCCUCCAAAAUAAAUGUUGUCCUCAACAUGAGUACUUCGAUAUCUGGUAUACAGCAUGGACUAAACAAAUGUAGUAAUUAUCAUAUGCUUUCCAUAUACAUUGUUUCAAAACCAUGACUGAAAUUUUGCCAUUUUGCAUUUAAUCCAAAUAUUCUAAUGGUAUUCCAACCACGUAAUAGUAUUCAGUCACGUAGAAAACAUAUUCCCACCGACCAAACGUCUAAAUCUAAAUUAAAAAAAAUGUAAAAAGCACAUGACAGAAUUUUUUUUUUUUAACCAGUCUCUGUUACUCUUCUCAAACGUCAGAAAAUUAUCCGAAACGGUACAUAACAGAUUUGUUGACAGUCUUGUACCACUUUAUUCACACAGUCACUCCAGUUUCCCUCUCUCAUCAUCCAAGGUCCUCAAUAUUGGCAACAAAGUACAAUUAAAUCUUUCGACUGGGUUUCCCUGUGGUUGGUAAGGAGUGGUUCUUGAGUUGGCAAUGCCGCUGAUAUUUUGUAAUUGCCUCAACAACUGAUUCUCAAAUUCUUUGCCAUGAUCGUGGUGUUCUCUUGCAGGAAAAACAAAUUUUAAAGCAAAAUCAAAAAUCUUUGUCGCAGCAGUUUUGCCUGAAUUGUUACGGGUUGUGUAGGCUUGUGCAAACUUUAUGAAGUUAUCACUUGUUUCUUGUGCCACUGUCUCUAACCAUACAUCAUGCCCUCACGACUGUUUUAUAAACUUUGCCCUUCAUCCUUGCAGAGAUUCUUCUGUCACAUAACACACCAGACACAUUCCGCUUGCUCUUCCUAUCUGCUUGGACCGGUUUCUUCACUUCCUUACCACACUCACCAUUGCUCUGGAUUGUUGACCCCCAAGUAUUUGAAGUCGUCCACCCUUGCUAUCUCUUCCCUCUGUAGCCUCUCUCCUCCCCCUCCACCCCUCUAAUUCACACACAUAUGUUACAAAUACACGUUUUACUUCGGCAUCCGACUUAAGUUGCAAUUCGAGUUAAGUUGCUUCUGUAGGAACGGAUCUCAGUCAUAGACCAAGAAAUUUUAUAUUUUACCUGUAUUCCAGGUUCUUGUGGUUUGUUCACAUAAUAAAUGGGUGUUUGGCACCCACUAGGUAAUGCCUGCAAUGCCUUCUUCACACCCAAAAGUUUCCAGUUUCCGAUCCCGUAAUUCCUCUCUGCGUGGGACUAUUUGUACACGGGUGAACCUUACCAUCGGUCUGGGCAUAUUGAGACAACACAGCACCAACCCUGCUUCUGAUGCAUCGACCUUGACGAUGAACUGCCGUUUUGGAUCCACAUGAACAAGAAUAGAAGCAGAGGAGAAAAGUUUCUGAAGAUCACCAAAAGCUAUGUCGACCUUCUCUGUCCAUUGAAAGCUGCUAGGGUUGGGGUGAGCGCAGUGAGAGGUUCUAGGUGCUACUACCUGACUGUAGUUCCGUAUGAACCACUGGUAGAAUUUAGCGAAGCUGAGGAACCGCUGCAGCGCUUUUCUUGAGGCUGGUCUAAGCCAAUUGGUGACCACGGCCAGCAUGGCUGGGUCCAUUUGCAGCUGCCCUGCUGUAAUAACAUACCCCAAAAAGGUGGUCUUAAAUCAUGGAACUCACAUUUUUCAGUUUUGACAAAGAUUUUAUUUAAAAGGAGUCUCUGGAGUACUUGGCACAGGUGUCAAACAUGAUGUGCAUCAGAUUGAGAUGUCAUCAAGGUAAACAAAAGCAAAUUUCCCAAUUAUGUCACACAGGACCUCAUCAACGAGUGCCUGGAAAACAGCAGAGGUGUUGUUCAAGAUGAAAGGCAUGACAAGGUACUUGUAGUGCCCUUUGUGGAUGUUAAAAGCUGUCUUCCACUCGUCACCUUCCUGAAUGAAGACCAGGUGGUAGGCUUGGCACAGAUCCAACCUGGUAAAAGUUGUCGGACCAUGAAGGGGGGGAAAAGGCUGAGUCUGUCUGGGGCAAAGGGUAAUUCCACUUAAUAGUAAUCUUAUUAAAAUCACAAUAAUCCACACAUGGAUUGAGUCUCUGGUGUUGUACACAAAAAUAAAAAUCCUGCCCCCACCAGUGAUGAGGAAGGCCGAAUAAUAUCUACGGCCAAUGACUUAUUGAUGUAGGUCUUUAUGGCCUCCCGCUCGUGACAAGACAUGUCAUAAAGGCGGCCACUAGGUAACAGGGCACUAGGCUGUAGGGUUAUAGUGCAAUCAUAUGGUCUGUGGGGGGUAAAGCAAAACGAAGCAAAGCAAAUUUAUUUGUAUGGCACAAUUCAUACACAAGGUGACUCAGUGCAACUAACAUUAUUAAAAGGAUUCAAAUACAAAAAUAAAAACACUUGAAAAUAAAAAGUACAAUUAAAACAGCUUUGAACCAGUAAUCCCUCUCUAUUGCACCUUUUGCGGCUUCAGUGCAUCACGUCUCCCCCCCAUUCCAAAAAAAAAAAUACAAAAAACAUCGGCAUCCACCACUGAGUGUAUUACAGCAAGACGCAUUGAUACAAGUUAAGUGAUGGUCCCCAGCGCGACAUCCAUCCCUGAGUUCAAUUUAAAAAAAAAAAAAAAAAAAAAAAGCUAGAUCGGCAUGCGGUACUGUUUUACGGGAAGACGCGUUGAUACAAGGCAAGUGAUUGGUACUCGGCGUAACAUCGACCAAUAAGAGCAUGUGUGGAUUUAUCUUGUGAGUGGAUUGGCUGUGCAUCAUCAAAGACCCACCCACCAAUUCUCCCUCCCUCCCAUCCUCCCUCUCUCCCUUGUCCUUCCUUUCCGCCAUUUUCUACGCUGUUGACUGUGUGCGCGAUAAUCUUGUGUUUACAAUGCCCCCGAAGCGCUGUUUUGAUGCAAACUCUUCCACCCAACAAGAAGAGGAAGAUAAUGAUGAUCAGCAAAAAAUUAAAACUUUUGGAAAAGAUCAAAGACAGCAGAAGUUAUGCUUUUGUGGCGCCAUUAUGACGUGAAUGAAUCAGUGCUGCGCUACAUAAAGGAUGUGGUAAACAUCCAUAAAACCGCUUCAAUAACUUUUAAUAAGGAAGCAAAAUGUGUAAUGAUGAAGAGGCUGAAGAAAGUGCUGACAAACCUCAUGCUGCAAUGAGGGAUUCACCCCUUCAAGGACAAGCCUUUUUGGCAAGCAAAGGUUGGUUUGAAAAAUUUCAAAAGCGUUAUGCCCUCAAAAGGUACAAUAUGGUACGAGCUGUCGAGAUUAGCAAUUGUUUUGACGGGGUUAUGUCUUUAUACAUGGUGUUGGAUUAAAUUGAUUAAUUGUACAUAAAAUUAUCACAUAUUUGCCCUCUUGUUUUGCUUUUAAUGCUGCUUUGCUCUGCUUAAUAUGCUUGAACAAUAUGAUGCAACAAAGAGGGGCAUUACGUUGCGUGUGAAAUAGCGCUCAACUGUGAGGAGACGUCAUUAGGGUAAGACGGAGAUGACAUCACCGGGGUGCGUUGGCAGCAUUUGGCGCACAACAACUCAGUGGAAAACUUGCCAGGAUUCACGUUUGCUUUGUUUGCCAUGGUAGUUUUGUUUUAUCAACUCAAGCUUACUUUGUCACGCUUGUGUAUGGUUGCUUUGUUUAUCACGUUUCCUGUUUUUGUUACGUUUUGGACCGCCGUAAAGAAAUAAAAGGGAAAAUUCCUUGAGAUGUGGUCAGAAUGGGCUGGAGAUGGUGGGAGAGACACACCGUGCAUCCUCCUCGCGAGCAAAUGUUCCUCUUGUCGCAGGAGGGGAUGUCACAACGAUUAGACGAAGGCAACAUCACAACGGUGAGACGGAAGCGACAUCACAACGGUGCGUCGGGAACAUUCUGUGCGCUACAGAAGAGAUCACUAGUUUGCUUUGUUUGUCACUAUCUGUACUGCAAUAAAAAUGUUUUAUUGUAAUUGUUCAACUAGACCAGUGGUCUAGUCAACCUGGGCCCGGACCCCCAGUGAGUCGUUCAAAAAGCUCCCGGACCCCCAAUAAUGUAGUGCUGGACACAGCUAUGCCAAGAAAUACUCAAUUUUUGUGGCUCAUGUGCUCUUGCUUUUUAUUUUUGUACAAUAAAUCAAAACGUGGUUCAACACUGGAAAGGACAAUUCUCACAUCAUGAUUAGCUUUCAGACGAUUUCGUUUUUUCGUCUUCACAUCAUGGACCCCCUGGAAAGACGUUUUUCACCCCCUGAGGUUCCUUGAUGUAAACCCACUUUGGGAACCACUGAACUAGACACUUGUACCGCUGUAAUUUUUGUUUCAAGUAUGUGAAUUACAAAUGCUGAACUCUUGCUGAAAUAUUCUGGUAACCCCCCCCCCCCCCACACACACACACACACAAACAUCAGCAGUGAUGUGAUAAAUGGUCACUAUCCAGUAAUAUAGUCAGUGUUUUAUAAUUUAUAGUCAUUCAGUCAUUUUCUUAACCACUUAUCCUCACAAGGGUUGUGGGAGUGCCAGAGCCAAUCCUAGCUGUCAUUGGGCAGGAGGCAGGGUACACCCUGAACUUGUUGCCAGCCAAUCACAGGGCACACGGAGACAGAGAACAGUCGCAUUCACAAUCACACGAUUUAGAGUGUCCAAUUAAUGUUGCAUGUUUUUGGGAUGUGUGAAGAAACUGGAGUGCCUGGAGAAAACCCACACAGGAACUCAACAGAGGCGAGGUUGGGAUCGAACCCUGGAUGUUAAAACUGUGAGGCCAACACUUUUACAGGCGAUCUCAAAUAUGCAAAGUACAAAUACUGUUUACUAAUUUAAACAUUCUGGUACCCACAUAAACAUAUAUGUCUGUCAUGGGUGUGUCUGUUCCCGAUGUGGCGCGCACCUGCUCUGAUGAGCAGAUGUGUUCACUUGCGUCUCGUUUUGGUGAUUAUGGUACAUGUAUAUAUUGCCACGUGAGCGGUCGCGUCCUUGUCAGAUUGUUGUACUACUUUGUCACAUUCCCGCAACCCUUUGCCUUUGUCCUACUCUGUGUACCGAACCCUGCCUUGUUAACGACCCUGCCUUCACGCCUACUGAUUUUGAUACUGCUGCUUUGUUUGGAUGGCCUGCUGGUGUUUUGACUUUGGACUGAAUAAAGACACUUCCGGAGUUGUACCUGGUCUCAUGAGUGCUGCAUUUUGGGUUCGUGUCCAGCUGACUCAGAUCGGGUGCGCAACGCCCUCCAGGCUCAAGGACGGCGUCUUGCUGAACACGACGAAAAUCUCCAGAUGGUUCCUCCCCAGUUGGAGCAGUUGAGUAACCAGUUGCGAGAGGUAUUUGCCCGGCUUAGUCCCCUGUCCGCAUCCUUCACCUGACAGAGCCAAGGUCAUGUUCGUCAUUUCCCACCUGAUAGGAUGCGCUGAAGAAUGGGCGACCACUGAGUGGAGCUGUGACGCGGACACGUGUCGGACAUGGGCGUCCUUCGUGAAGUGCAUGGCAAAAGUGUUCCGGUAUGCAUUCCUUGAACACAAAGCGACAAACUCCUUGAUCACGCUGCGGGAAGGCAAGAGCCGGGUCUCUGACUACGCCAUUGACUUCUGCAUUCUUGCAGCCAAAAGCCAGUGGAACAAUGGGGCACUCCUCGAUGCAUUCUUUCAAGAGCUGUCCCCCGCAGUAAAGGACCAGCUGAUCCUGCUGGACUUGCCAACAGACCUGGACCCACUCAUCGCUCUCACUUUAAAAAUAGACAAGAGACUCAUGGAUCGGGAGCAGGACAGCGCCUGGCGGAUGGACACACCUGCACAUAUCAGGGACGCCGACACUCCUCAAGGUACCUCUGUGGAGCCAAGUACGCACGUACAUGCCCCUCAUCCCAGGAAGCGGAGAGGGAAGAGACCGCUCAAACUCCGCAAGAUGACCCGGACCUAUCUUCAGUCCCCUCCUGUUACCAUGACGUGAGGGAAGUAUUUUCCAAGUGUAAGGCCAAGUCGUUUCCUCCUCACAGGCCAUACGACUGCGCCAUUGACCUGCUGCCUGGCUCCUCACCCCCUCACAGGAGACGAUAUUCUCUUUCAGAUCCGGAGCAUCAAGGCAUGAAAACAUACGUGGAGGAGUCGAUGGCUGCAGGACUGAUCCGGCCUUGUCGUCACCGGCCGUGGCAGGCUUCUUUUUCUUGGAAAAAAGGGCAAGACCCUGCGGCCCUGCAUCAAUUACCAAGGAAUGAACGACAUCACGAUAAAGAACAGACGACAUCCUGAUUUUCUACCCGGAUGAAAAAUCCCAUGUCAGGCACAAUCAUGCGAUGCUACAACCGUUAAUGCGUCACUACCUGUCUGUCAAGGCUGAAAAAUAAUCCAACUCGUCAGUGCUGUCUGCGUUGGUCGUUGUGAGGCGCUGCAAGGGAACCUGGGACCAAGCCCGACAGAUGCUACAACAUGAGGAACUCUCCUAUAAGGCCGUAAGAGGGCCCCAGCUCCAGUCUACAGGGUGGGUUAGCGAGUCUGGCUGUCUGCUAAGGGCCUCCCACCCAGAGUGGAAUCACGGAAGCUCGCUCCCAGAUCCACCUGACUUUUCACGUUAGCCUGCUCAAGCCUGCUCAAGUGUCCUUGUUGGUCCCACCUGCCAGGACCCCUCCUCUCCCCCAAAAUGGUGGACGGGGUUCCUGUCUACAUGGUUUGCUGGCUCCUGUUGUUGCACCGUCGAGGGAGAUGGAUGCAGUACCUGGUGGACUGGGAGGGCUACGGUCCCGGGGAGUGGUCGUGGGUUCCUUCCUGGUUCCUGGUCAACCCCUCGCUCAUGAGGGACUUCCAUGCAUCGCAUCCUGAGGCUCCUGGGCCUGGGCUGGGUUUGGGGUUGGGGGGCACUGUCAUGGGUGGAUCUGUCCCCGAUGCGCCGCACACCUGCUCCAAUGAGCAGAUGCACUCACCUGCAUCUCGUUUUGGUGAUUAUGGUCCAUGUAUAUAUUCCUAGGCGUGUGGUCUGGUCCUUGCCAUAUUGUUGUACUACUAUGUUAUGUUCCACCAACCCUUUGCCUAUGCCCUUGCCACUCUGUGUAUCGAACCCCGCCUUGUUAACAACCCUGCCUUCAUGCCUGCUGAUUUUGGUACUGCUGCUUCUUAGGGCUGCCUGCCGGUGUUUCAACCUUGGACUGAAUAAAGAUGCUUCCUGAACUGUACCUCGUCUAGUGAGUCUUGCAUUUUGGGUUCAGCCUUGUGUUCUGGUCUUGACAAUAUUCCCCACUAUUUCACGUUUUUUUUACUUUUCGUGGGUGAUUCUGGUCCCAAUUAACCGCAAAAAAAAAAAAAAAAAAAGAGGAUUUCUAUACUCCAAAACGUAUGAGAAAAAGGAAGAAUUUUUAAUCUGGAUUUGAAAACACUCACAGUUGGGGCUGACGCCACCUCCAUUGGCAACUUAAUCAAUUUCUCUGCAGAAUAAUAGCUAAAUGCUGCUUCACCAUGUUUCCUUUGAGUCAGUUGAUCUCAGCCCUAAGGGGUUUGUAUUCCAUGAGCAUUCCUUUCAUGUAUUCAGGACCUAAGCCAUUUAAUGAUUUAAAGACCAAUAUCAUAACUUUGAAAUUUAUUCCAAAGCCGAUUGGAAGCCAGUGUAAAGACAUUAGAAUUGGAGUUAUAUGCUCUGACCUCUUGUGAAAACAUUCAUUACUUUUAUAGUUAUCAUGGUUAAAACAUUUUCACGUUUUGUAGACAUUCACCCACUCAGAUGUGUGGUCGAGGCAGGAAAGCUGUCUGUUUUACACUUACUUAAGCAGAAGUGACUAUGCCGACUGUCAGAAACUGUUAGAAUAGUAGGAAACGAUCUAAGCAUUUUCUUGGUGCAAGAUGCAUCUGCACAUUGAAAGUUCCAUUGUGUUGCAUCCUGCUUUGUUUCAAUGAAGGCGGACGAGGGAUAGGAAGACCUCGACAGUCUUGGUGAGGUCACUCAGUGUGCGCUCAGCUGUCCAUCGCAAGCGGAAAAAGACAAUCUUGGUUGGUGUGAGUUCACUUCAAUACAGUCCGCAGGCUUGUUCAGGUGUUUAGAAGAAACUUGGGCCUUCAAGCCGGAAGACAACGUCUUCUCUUCGGUGGAUUAUCGACAACGACUGAACACAGUGCACCGUCCGAGUCUCCAGGAGACCCGGAAAGUCCUCCUUUCCAUGAGGGCAGUCCUCGAACAUCCUCCACUGGGAGAACACAAACAUCAUCCUACGAAUUGUAUAUGUCUCAACCAAAGGAGAAAUCGUCACAGGAGCUGAGUCGACGUCCAGGCAAAGACCGUGGACGAGGCACUUGAGACCCUUUCCGGAACUGGACCUCGACUUUGCGUCUGGAGGCUGAGGGUUGAUGAGAAGCCGAAGGAAGUAAAGGCAUCUCUGAGAGAGCUGGAGCCAAUCCCAGCUAACUUCGGGCAGCGGCAGACGACACCCCGAACUGGUCGCCAGCCAAUCGCAGUUCAGAUGUCGACACCAUCACUGAGCGCGAAUCGAUCCCAUGCUGCCUUCACUCAAAAUGUCCCUCUGAGGGAAACCCGAACUACAACGUGGCCCGCAAGAGAAAUGAGCUUGUCACCCCUGCACUACACCAUCAGAAAAAAAAAUGUAACAAGUUACUGUGCUAUAAUAACUAUUGCUGCCAUUUGUCUAUUCAUCCAAUGUAUGUUUAUGAAUUCACAUCUACUGUACAUGCAGUUUCAUCCGAACACUGGCAUAGACUGAUCAAGAGCUGAAUGACAUGGACAAAAUAGCAGAAAGAAACACGUGGAUACACCUUACACACUGUAAAAGGUCAUCUCAGCUGAGUCACCCAAGGGGAAAGGUGAGCAAAGACCAGCAUACGGUGGGUGCUGCCUACCACCAGAUAACGAGGCGCAAUCUCAUUUCAAAUAACUUUGGUAAACAACUGUGCGGGAGGCAUGAGGCAUGAGAGGAGGACUCCAUGUGUGCCUCCCAGUGAAUCAGUUCAGCACUUUUUCAAUUCCUUGGCAGAGUCUAAUUGCUGGGGAUUCCAUCUUUGGGCUUAUGCUAAAUGAAACCCCCACUUUCUUCUCACCAUUUGCCAAUUUAAUGCUACCUUAAACCCGCAUGUUAUACAAAAGAGUACGUAUACUAUGGAGGGAGUAUUUUAAGCGGAAAAACCCUGAGGAACAUUUUUUCAUUAUUAUGAUUAUCUUUUUUUUUUUACAAAUAGGAAACAAAACUGGUUGUUAUUAAUGUAGAAUGCAGCUAACAAGGUAAACUAUAGUUACAUCAUACGCAUGGGCCCUAGGCCACUAAUGCGUGUCAUUCCAAUAGAAAUCCCAACACAAUGUACCCUGGAGGUAAUGACUAAAACAACUCCCAACACCACUUGACAGAAAUGGAAAAGUGUUUAUCCAACAACUAAGGCAGUAAAGGAUAAACUGAUAUUUUCUACUAGUGUUGCAUUGGCUAAUUUCUCCUGUGUUAGCUUUACAGGGACAGAUUUUAAGGUGGGAAGUCUCAACAAAACAUGGUGUCAUGAUAUCCAUCUGCAAACUGCCCCACUGCUCCCACUGCUGACAUACAUUGAUGCAAAUGGCAUCCCAACUGCAUACCAGAUGAGUAUAAAUUGGUUAACGAGAUUGCUGCAGGAUGCGAAUCCAUCUUGUUAUGGAUAACUCUGAAUAAAAACGUUGACAGAAUCAACUACAUACAUAACAAUGUCCAGAAACUAGGUAAUUAUACGGAAGCAGGCUUUAUUGCCAUAAGGGAACAACCAGCUGCAACCUCACUCAUGACCUUCCAGAACCGCAUAGCGGUCGACAUGCUCCCGGCCGAGAAGGGUGGCGACUGCUCAAUGUUCGGUGACCAGUGUUGUUUAUUCCAAAUAUCACAGCACCUGAUGGGUAACGCACAAGGGCCAUUCAAGGCCUCCGCACCCUGAACCACAAGAUGAAGGAGCACUCUGGUGUAAACACAUCAGCCAGGUCUGAGUGGUGGGGGGAAAAAAAAAAAGUUUGGCAAAUCUAAAAAUUUGGUGUUCUCUGUCCUAGUUUCUAUCGCUGUUUGCAGCUAUUCUUGCAUUGUGUGGAUGUUGUUCUAUUCCCUGCAUAAAGGCAUCACUUAACCAACUUAUAACCACUGCUAUUGCCCCGACAAAUUCAAAAUUGGCACAAAUAUAUCCACUAUUGGCACAACAGGGUAAUGACAGUGAUAUUGUUGACCACGAUGAUGAUGUUAUGACUUCUCUUCCAGACCUGUUCUCUGAUCCAGAAGAUUACAAGUAAUUAGUGCUAUAUUUUCUUCCGGGUGUAAGCCGAAAGGGUGAUCAAUUAGAUGAUUUAAGGAUUUGAGCAAAUGUAGGAUAAACAGGAGGUUAAUGUAGAAAUAAUUCUAAAUAGUAUUAAGUAACUGUUUCUGCCUGCAAUGAAGAAAUGCUUUGCUCUGCUCCAAUUCAGUUACUGUUUCUGCCUGCAAUGAAGAGAUGCUUUGCUCUGCUCCAAUUCAGUUCCUGUUUCUGCCUGCAAUGAAGAAAUGCUUUGCUCUGCUCCAAUUCAGUUACUGUUUCUGCCUGCAAUGAAGAAAUGCUUUGCUCUGCUCCAAUUCAGUUACUGUCUCUGCCUGCAAUGAAGAAUGCUUUGCUCUGCUCUAGAAAACGUGGUAGCAAAUGUAGGAUAAACAGGGGGGAAAUGUAGGAAUAAUUGUGAUCAUAAUUAUCAUACAUUUGCUUCCAAUAAAGAAAUGCUUUGCUCUGCCCUAGAUAAUGUGGCAGCCUCCUAGCAGGAGAUAGCAAGAACAAAAACAUCUAAUCAUCAGAACUGUUAGAACUGCUGCCU